UUUUUCCAACUGACAGAUGCUAGUGGUGUGUGUUUGUUGUUUUGGUUUGUUUUGGUUUGUUUUUUCUUUUUCUUUUUUUUUCUUUUAAUUGUCUGAAAUCAGUUUUGACUUCAGCAGGGCCUCACAUGCACUGAUUGCUGCAGCUGUUUCCUGAUACCUGUUUUCUCUAACCUAAAACCAGGUCCCGGUCUAGAUCCCGUUCAAGGUCCCGAGGAAGAAGGUAUUCUCGGUCACGCAGUCGGAGUCGCGGUAGGAGAUCGAGGUCAGCUUCCUAUCGCAGGUCCAGGUCAAUCUCUCCUCGUAGGUAUAGAUCAUUUUCACCCCGCAGAUCUCGGUCUGGUUCUUUAAGGAGAUCAAGAUCUAGAUCCAGGUCACGCUCAAGGUCUCGAUCUGUUGUAUGGCCUCGAAGCAGUCGCUCAAAGUCCAGAUCACCAUCUCCAAAGAGAAGUCACUCACCAUCAGGAAGCCCUUGAAGGAGUGCAAGUCCUGGAAGAAUGGAUUCAAAUUCAAAAAGUUUAAGAAGAAAAUUUAUUUUGUUUACAUUAUUAUAAGGGAUUUUGCAGUGUCUUUAUAAAUGUAAGGGCUUAGUCCUAGAAGGCUGUUUCUAUUGGCUAACAAUUGGCAUGAAUCUGAUCUUUUAAAAGUCUUAAUAGUAGACUAAUGCAAAACUCUUUUGUUGUGUUAAUGUUCUGUGAUCUGGAAAGGUUGGGCUUUUUUUAUUGGCGCAUUGAAAUAAACUGUGCAUUUCUAACUAA